UUAGUCCAUCUAAAGCAGGGACCUGUUAGUCCAGUAGCAUCUCCUACCGCUAAACACAUUGUUGGAGCAGGUUCAAUUUAUGGAGUGUCACAGCUAUCUCCCUCAGCACCUGUGUAUCCAGGACCUUACCAGAUGCUACCUUCCUCUGCUGGACCUACUAGCAGCACUCAGAAGGAACACUCAAAUCCUGAAAGACCUGGUCAACUUGAAUGCCAGUACUACGUGAGAACAGGAGAAUGUAAAUUUGGUUCCACGUGUAGAUAUCAUCAUCCGCGGGAAUGGAUUUCACCAAGAACAAAUUGUGUCCUCAGUCUUAUGGGUCUCCCUCUACAUUCGGUUGAAGUUGCUACAAUAUAUUAUUGAAUGUUAACGACGAAAAUAUUUGGGGGAAAAAAAUAGUUUUAUCUAUCAUUAUGUUUGAUGACGAUGUAAAUUUUAAAUUUGUAUAGAUUUAUCUCAAGUUAUUAAUUUUUGAUGAUGUAAAUAUUAAAUGUCUACUUGGAUCUACUAAUGUGUAACAACAGGGUAAUAUGUAGACAAAAAACAAAUAUUUUUUUUUAUUUA